rnacentral:lncRNA from 1 species
CUGGGACAUAUCCUGAGUCGUGAUACAGUUGGGGCACACCAGGUAAAAGCAGGGCAUUGUGCUGUUGAUGGAAGCUUGGAAACAGAAAACAGAAGACAAAGUGACAACAGCUGUCUUCAAGAAUGGACCAAGGCGCAGCGGGAAUGUGGAUACUCAUAUUUUUAAUUCUAAAGAGUAAAGCAUCCACCGGAAAAACAAUAAACACGACAACAGGAACAGUCUUGCAGGCACACAAAACGCAAUGCAAGAACAACUACCCACAACCCCAAAGAAAAAC